GACAGAGGAUGCGAACGUUGCUCGGAAUUACUGGGCGUAAAGCGCGCGCAGGCGGCUUUGUAAGUCGGGUGUGAAAGCCCGGGGCUCAACCCCGGAAGUGCACACGAUACUGCAAGGCUUGGGUACUGAAGAGGAGGGCGGAAUUCCCGGUGUAGAGGUGAAAUUCGUAGAUAUCGGGAGGAACACCAGUGGCGAAAGCGGCCCUCUAGGCAGAUACCGACGCUGAGGCGCGAAAGCGUGGGGAGCAAACAGG
rnacentral:rRNA from 1 species